GUGAAAUACCUCCACACGCCUUGUACUGCUUUUGGAUCGAGUGUGAAUAUAGUAUUUUUUAGACUUUCCCUUACUAAAAGGGUAAUUCUGAGCGGGGAGACGCAGUCCAUUUCUGAGUUAGUUGUUUACAAAAAACACAUGUUAGUGUAACAGUGUAUACGGAAUUAAAGAGAAAAUGUCAAACACGCCGUGACAUCCAAAAUACAUUCAGCUGUUCUCUUUUACUAUGGGGACUUUCAUUCCGCAGUGGGCUUCCUCCAAGACCCAGUGUUUUUGUGUGUUGGGUUAAAAAUAGCCUGCCAAGCCUGACAACUCGCUUCUGAUUGGCCCGAAGCACAGGCCGUUCAGCCAAUGAUAGCUUCUGGGAACAAAAGCAAUUCUUUUGUGUGUGUGAGAUGCUAAACCCACGUCAAAACAGCUUCGGGCUGUAGAAAUGAUUUGGGUUGCGAUUUAACAAGGAAACAGAACCUCCAUCUCUGGAAAGAACACUGACUUAGAAGUAGAUUUCAAGCAAAGUGAGUGAGACUGGAGGACAUAAUGUUAAGUGAAACAAGCCAGACCCAGAAAAAAAGGCACACUAAGGAUUAUCCGGAACCAUCUUCAAAGCAACUGGAGGAACUCCACUCAUGUGUAACAAGAACCAUCCAAGUACCACAGUACAACUACUUUCUUAUUUUAAAAUGUAACUACCCUCCAGAAACUUCCUGUUCCUUACAAACUGAUAAUAAUCCAGGGGACAUGAUGACAUCACCCGGGAAAUCUACCAUAAAUACUUCAGUAAUGGGAAAAUCAUGUACAUUUUUCAACUCCUUGAAAUGCUUGGUCAACAAGAAGCUAUAAAAAUAUUCAGGAAAUGGCCACUUCUCACAUGUGAAAAAUAAUGUAAAUGCCUGAAAUACAUGUUUAUGUUGUUUCUUUCUUCUCUCUCUCCCUCCUCUUCCCCUCUCUUCCCUUUUGCUCACCCAAGCUUCCUCUCCCUGCUCCCAUUUUCUUUUUCCUUCCUUUCAGUUGUUUUUAGAAAAAAGAGCCUCACUAGCAUUAUUACCCAAGCUGCCUGGAAGUCACUAUGUGCCUAGCCUGGUGUUAAACUCAUGACAAUCUUCAUGCUUUAGCUUUCCCACUUCUGAGAUUACAGUAAUGUGCCCUUGUGCCCAGCUUUGUUGCUGUAUUCUUC
rnacentral:lncRNA from 1 species